rnacentral:rRNA from 1 species
GAUGAACGCUGGCGGCGUGCCUAAUACAUGCAAGUCGAGCGAACAGACGAGGAGCUUGCUCCUCUGACGUUAGCGGCGGACGGGUGAGUAACACGUGGAUAACCUACCUAUAAGACUGGGAUAACUUCGGGAAACCGGGGCUAAUACCGGAUAACAUGUUGAACCGCAUGGUUCAACAGUGAAAGACGGUCUUGCUGUCACUUAUAGAUGGAUCCGCGCCGCAUUAGCUAGUUGGUAAGGUAACGGCUUACCAAGGCAACGAUGCGUAGCCGACCUGAGAGGGUGAUCGGCCACACUGGAACUGAGACACGGUCCAGACUCCUACGGGAGGCAGCAGUAGGGAAUCUUCCGCAAAGGGCGAAAGCCUGACGGAGCAACGCCGCGUGAGUGAUGAAGGUCUUCGGAUCGUAAAACUCUGUUAUUAGGGAAGAACAAAUGUGUAAGUAACUAUGCACGUCUUGACGGUACCUAAUCAGAAAGCCACGGCUAACUACGUG